UCACUCCGUAGAUUUUGAUCUCUACCCGUAGAGUUGGAGCUUGGUCCUUUGACGUUAGCGGCGGACGGGUGAGUAACACGUGGGCAACCUACCCUAUAGUUUGGGAUAACUCCGGGAAACCGGGGCUAAUACCGAAUAAUCUCUUUUGCUUCAUGGUGAAAGACUGAAAGACGGUUUCGGCUGUCGCUAUAGGAUGGGCCCGCGGCGCAUUAGCUAGUUGGUGAGGUAACGGCUCACCAAGGCGACGAUGCGUAGCCGACCUGAGAGGGUGAUCGGCCACACUGGGACUGAGACACGGCCCAGACUCCUACGGGAGGCAGCAGUAGGGAAUCUUCCACAAUGGGCGAAAGCCUGAUGGAGCAACGCCGCGUGAGUGAAGAAGGUUUUCGGAUCGUAAAACUCUGUUGUAAGGGAAGAACAAGUACAGUAGUAACUGGCUGUACCUUGACGGUACCUUAUUAGAAAGCCACGGCUAACUACGUGCCAGCAGCCGCGGUAAUACGUAGGUGGCAAGCGUUGUCCGGAAUUAUUGGGCGUAAAGCGCGCGCAGGCGGUCCUUUAAGUCUGAUGUGAAAGCCCACGGCUCAACCGUGGAGGGUCAUUGGAAACUGGGGGACUUGAGUGCAGAAGAGGAAAGUGGAAUUCAA
rnacentral:rRNA from 1 species